rnacentral:rRNA from 1 species
GUCUACGGCCAUACCACCCUGAAUGCGCCCGAUCUCGUCUGAUCUCGGAAGCUAAGCAGGGUCGGGCCUGGUUAGUACUUGGAUGGGAGUCACCAAAUGGAUGCCAGUGACU